rnacentral:lncRNA from 1 species
AAUGCCACCAUGAACUGCAGUUACAAAACUAGUAUAAACAAUUUACAGUGGUAUAGACAAAAUUCAGGUAGAGGCCUUGUCCACCUAAUUUUAAUACGUUCAAAUGAAAGAGAGAAACACAGUGGAAGAUUAAGAGUCACGCUUGACACUUCCAAGAAAAGCAGUUCCUUGUUGAUCACGGCUUCCCGGGCAGCAGACACUGCUUCUUACUUCUGUGCUACGGACGCACAAAAGCAGCGGAGACAAGCUGACUUUUGGGACCGGGACUCGUUUAGCAGUUAGGCCCAUAUCCAGAACCCUGACCCUGCCGUGUACCAGC